rnacentral:rRNA from 1 species
GAUGAACGCUGACAGAAUGCUUAACACAUGCCAGUCCACUUGAACUUCGGUUUGGGUGGCGGACGGGUGAGUAACGCGUAAAGAACUUGCCUCACAGAUAGGGACAACAUUUGGAAACGAAUGCUAAUACCUGAUAUUAUGAUUAUAUGGCAUCGUAUAAUUAUGAAAGCUAUAUGCGCUGUGAGAGAGCUUUGCGUCCCAUUAGCUAGUUGGAGAGGUAACGGCUCACCAAGGCGAUGAUGGGUAGCCGGCCUGAGAGGGUGAUCGGCCACAAGGGGACUGAGACACGGCCCUUACUCCUACGGGAGGCAGCAGUGGGGAAUAUUGGACAAUGGACCAAGAGUCUGAUCCAGCAAUUCUGUGUGCACGAUGAAGUUUUUCGGAAUGUAAAGUGCUUUCAGUUGGGAAGAAAAAAAUGACGGUACCAACAGAAGAAGUGACGGCUAAAUACGUG